ACGUAUGGUGCAAGCGUUAUCCGGAUUUACUGGGUGUAAAGGGAGCGCAGGCGGUGCGGCAAGUCUGAUGUGAAAGCCCGGGGCUCAACCCCGGUACUGCAUUGGAAACUGUCGUACUAGAGUGUUGGAGGGGUAAGCGGAAUUCCUAGUGUAGCGGUGAAAUGCGUAGAUAUUAGGAGGAACACCAGUGGCGAAGGCGGCUUACUGGACGAUAACUGACGCUGAGGCUCGAAAGCGUGGGGAGCAAACAG
rnacentral:rRNA from 1 species